AUCAGAGGACCCGAUAUCCCAAAUCCCAAUAUAAAACAGACUGUGGUUAUUUUAAGAUACAUUACGCUCCAGAAAACAGGUUUUAAUACACAAUCCCACCAGGAAUGAAACUCAAUUGGCAACAUCCAAAACAGAAAAUUCAUAUCAGAACUCCAGUCAUCUUUCCAAGUUCCGCAAAACAUUACUAUUUCCUAUUACUCAUAUAGCAAUACCAUAAAUGCAAAACAACAUCGGUCUACCAAGAAUAAUGUUAGUUGUAACAGAGGAAUUCAAGAACAAUUAAUCAAUUGUAACUGCAAAAGUUAAGAUACCGAAUAAUUAAUCACAAAGAAUAAGAAUACAACACAUGAGGAUCAAACAAGAGAAUGUCACAGAUUAUUGCUCCUGCAACACCAAAAAGUAACGAAUGAAGAAAUAUUCAUACUCUCAGCAACACCAAAAAGUAACCAAUCAAGAAAUAUUCAUACUCUUAGCAGUGAAAGAAAUAUUGUAAACAAAGAAUUAUGAUAGAUAUCACCAUAUAAAAACGCUAUGAUGCGAAGAAAGUUAUUAGAUUUGACAGACCGUGCUGCAGAAAAACAUGUUCAAAAUUCAAUUUGUUAAAAGCCCAUAAAUCAAGUUAAUAAAUGACUCAUUGAAGAAACAUCAUCUAUCUAUCGGAUGUUGUUCCUCGUUCUUGUCCAUUGAAUCAAGUGUUCUAGAUAUCUAGAGUUCCGAGUUCCCUGCUUGCAGUACAACGGAUUAAAGGUCUUCAAUUAUCAAAUGAAGUUAUUUUGAAAAAUAACACAAAGAUUGAAUAAAUGAAAUUUCUAGAGAUCACCAGAAAAAUACUAAAGGCUCCAUACUCUGAAGUAGGUUAUUAUUUAAACAAACCAGGCUGCUGAAAAAGCAUGUUCGCAGUUCAAUUAUUUUGACAAACCAUGCUGCAGAAAAGCAUUUUCAAAAUCAAUUUGUAUGUCUUGUAAUCAAAGUCAGAUUUUAAACAAAAUUAACAAAAUCAAUAAAGAUUUAAACAAAAAGGAUUUACUACCUUUGAUAUUUAUGAAGUAAGGAGAAAAAUUUGAGGUUCUAUGCUAUGAAGGAGGUUAAUAUUUUGACAAAACCAAGCUGAAAAAGAAAGUCAUUGAUUCAAUUUUGCUGUCUUGCAUUAAAAUUAAUAAAUAAUCACCAAAAUCAAAACCUCACAAAGAAGCGUGUUUUCAUAGAUAUUUCUCCUGAAACACCAAAGAGACCAAAUCAAAAAAUAUCAACUGAUUCAAUGUAAUACAUAAAUAACAAUGAAGAAAUUUUGAAAACAAAUAAUUUAACAGACAUCACCAAAUCAAAUCCAUGCUUUAGUUUGCAAACCACCCACCACGCUGCAGAAUAAUUAAGAUGUUCAAUAUUCAAUUGUAUGUUUUCCAAUCAAAUUAAAAUAAUUAAGAACCACUAUUAAUUAAAGAAAUUUAAUUUAUCUAGCUGGGGCCUUUCUUGUGCCUUGUAUCAAGAUGUUUCACUGCAAAACUGAUAAACGAUCUCUCGAUUAUCAAAUGAAGAAUUAAUUAUAUAUGAAUUUUAAGAAAUUUUUAUGUAAAAGAAUAAGGGCUCGUGUAAGUAGGAAACAGAAAAUAUCUAUUCUAGUUCUAUCAUCAGCUAUGGGUUCGAAUUUAAGCGAAAUUCUUGAGAACGUUUGCUACCCCGAAAUUUUUAUAUCUUUCCUCAAUGAAAAGGAGGAAAAAAAAAUAGGGUCAAAAGAAAAUGCCAUUUUGGAGUUUUAUCGACAAUUUGCUUGUGUAGGCGGAGAUCCCAUAUUUCCGGAAUCUUUAUGUACGGAAUUACAAAAAAAAAAAUUUCAACAAAGAUGUGAAUUGGGAGGGAUUGGUUUGCAACAAAAGGGACAGAAUUUUCUCAAUUCACAUCGAUUGGGUGUAUUGUGUCGAUUCUUUUGAGUAAUAUAUCUAGAAAUACCCCUAGAUAUGUGAUUGUGUGAAAUUCUGUUGAAAGUAUAUCUUAACAAUCACUGAAUUUAAGCAAUAACAGAUCAAAGAAUCAAGAAACUAGAACACCAAAUCAAGAAAUCAUAAUUGCAUUCUUUAAAUCGACAUAGAAAAAAAAGAUUUACUAGAUAUCACCAAAUCAAAUCUAGAAGCUCCAUGCUAUGAAUAACGUUAUACUCUGACAAACCACGCUGCAGAAAAACAUGUUCAUGAAUAAGAUAUAUUCAUACUCGAGUAGUUAAAGAAAUAUUGAAAACAAAAAGAUUAUGAUAGAUAUCACCAAAUAAAUAUGCCAUGCUCUGCUGUGAAGGAAGUUAACAGUUUGACAGACAGUGCUGCAAAAAAACAUGUUCAAAUUCAAUUCCCGGAGCGAUAAGAACGAAAGGGUUGUGUGGCCACAGCUACAACACUCUUGAUACGAAAGAAACCAUCAUAAAUUAAAUUGAUAAAGGACUCGUUCAAGAAAAAUCAUUUAUCUAUCAAGAGCCGUUCCCCGUUACAUUACGUCUCCUAGAUUUCAAGACUUGAUCUUCGAUUAUCAAAGUAAGAGUUAUAUCGAAAAAUAAUACUCGUUAACUAAUCGUAAAAGAAGAGUCAAGAAAAGUAUGAGAGAGUGUGAAAUAUAUGCUCUCGGGCAUUGAACGGACGAAUUUACUAGAUAGAGAUCACCAGAAAAUUCUCAAGCUUCCAUACUCAGGAGGUUAUUACUUAGACAAACCAAGCUGCAGAAAAAGCAAGUUCACAGUUCAAUUCUUCUCAUAAUCUAAAACUUGAAAUUGAAAACAAUAAAGAAUGAAUCAUUGAAGAAAUUCGAUUCAUCUAUUUGAAGCAAUUCUCCGUUCAUAUCCGUUGUGUCAAGAAUCACAAAAUGUUCACAGUUUUUCGGAAUUCCGCCACCUGCUGCAAAUUAAACAUAUAUCUCCGUUAUCUACUUAUGAAGAACUAGAACCAAUAGUUCGAAAAUAAACAUAAUUUUUGAAAAAAACGAUCCAUAAAAGAAGAGUAGAGAGAACUGUGAAAUUCUUGAUAUCUAUAUUCCAAAAAAGCAUAUCAAAACACCAAUCAAUAAAGAUCUCAUUGAUAGAAGAAGAUCAAAGACCCAAGCGAAAAGAUAAACUGCAGACUCCUUAUGCUUUAUACUCAUGUUCCUGAUACAAAAACAUAAAAACUGCAACACUAUCCGAGCACACCAUCAGAGCACAACUAUCCCAUCCCAACACAAAAUGAAACCAGUUUUAUUAAUACCAAGGUUGAAUGAAAAGUAGGAUGUAUGACCAGUUUUAUUAAUACCAAGGUUGAAUGAAAAGUAGGAUGUAUGACCAUCAAAGCAGUCACAAUUUCUCCAGAAUUGUGUAAACUAUCACGGUCAGAAUACAUCAAAAACCUGAAUGUAAGGAAUCAGAGUAUGAUGGUGUAAGAAAACCUAAGGCUGAACUUCUCAGAUAUAAACAAGAGGAAGAUCAAUAGAACCAGAAUAUGUUUAAAAAAGAUCACUUCUCCUGCAACACGGAAGAAUAAACAACAAAUAAAGAAAUAUAUAUGUCGAUAAAACAAAUUUUUAAAAUGAAAAGAAUUAAAUAGUUAUCACCAUAUCAAAAUGCUAGGUUCCAUGCCAUGAAGCAGAUUAUUAGUGUGACAAACCAUGCUGCAGGAAAACAUGUUCAAAAUUCAUUUCGUAUGUCAUGCAAUUGAAGCCCAGAAAUUAAAAUAAUAAAGAAUGGCUCAAUGAAGAAAUUUGAUUUUUAUCUGCUGUUGUUCUUUUCCGGUGUAUGAAACGUUCUAGAUAAUGAAGAUUUCACAGACUGCAAGAUGGAUAAAUGCAUCGCCAGGUUAUCAAAUGAAGAAUUAUAUCCCAAACAAGUUUUGAUAACCAAUCCAUAAAAGAAGAGACAAGAUAAGUGUUAAAAUUCAUGAUAUCUACAAUCUGAGGGGAACAUAUUAAUAAGCAAACAAUAUGGCCAACUAGUUAAAAAAUCAAGUAACAAAAGAAGGUAUGAACAAGAAUAAACAAACAAACUUCAUAAUCAAGAAAUCAAAAGCAUAUCUUCUCAUGUAACACCAUCAAGAAAUCAAAAUCAUAUCCUCUUAAUACCAAAAAGUAAAUUAACAAUUUAACAAUUCAAGAAACAUUUGUUCUUAGAAUCAAGAAUGUAAGAUUGAAACAAAAAGGAUUUACUAGAUAUCACCAAAUCAAAACUUCAGGCUCUAUGCUGUGAAGGAUAUUAUUAUUUUGACAAACCAUACUGCUGUCUAAACCAACAAAAACAAAUAAUCAACCAGACAAAUCAUGAAACCGAAAGAAUCAAUCAAAAAUGAAUUAACAGUGCAAAACAUGAAGACCAAACAAGAGGAAGAUACAUACAACCAGAAGAAAUCGUAUGUUACAAAAUUACUUUUCCUGCAAGACCAACGAGGGUAAAAAACAGGUCAAGAAAUACAUGAUGAAAUACAUGAUCUCAGAGACGAUAAAGAAUUUUUAAAAAUGAAAAGAAUUUAAUACAUAUAACCAGAAGAAAUCGUAUGUUACAAAAUUACUUUUCCUGCAAGACCUAAGAGGGUAAAAACAGGUCAAGAAAUACAUGAUCUCAAGAGACAAUAAAGAAUUUUAAAAAAUGAAAAGAAUUUAAUACAGAUCACCAAAUCAAAACGCUAGGCUCCAUGCAUCAUUGAAGAAAUUUGAUUUAUCAAUGUGAAGCCAUUCUCUGUACAUAUCCAUUGAGUCAAGAAUCGCAAAAUGUUUAGUUUCUCAAAAUUCCACUUCCAGCAUAAUGGUUAAAUGCAUAUCUCAAGUAUCUAACAUGAUGAUCUCGAUUAUGAAGAACUACAACCAAUAGUUUGAAAAUAAACAUAUCACAACGAUCCAUAUAGGAGUAGAGAGAAUCGUGAAAUCCUUGAUAUUCUAAAAUCUAAUAAAGCAUAUCAAAAUGCCACAACAUAAAGAUCUCCUUGAUAGAAGCAAAUCAAAGACCCAAUCAAAAAGAUAAAGUCCAGACUCACAUUCCUGAUACAAAAACAUGAAACUGUACCACUAGCAGGGCACACAAUCAGAGCAUAACUAUCCCAUCCCAACACAAAUUAACAUGCAAGGGAAAAAACAACCAUUUUUACUUAUCCCUGGGCUGAACGAAGAGUAAGAUGUAUGGCCAGGUUUAUUCCAAGUCUAAUCAGAAGUAUAAAAACCUACAUGAAGAGUAAGAGGAAAGCCCAUCAUAGAAAGAGUAAAUAACAAAAAAAGUAAUGACUAGAAGUAGAAGACUGCUGGCCUGAGAAGGCGGCCUCUGAUAGAACCAGAGUAUGUUUACAGUUCACUUCUCCUGCAACACGAAAGAGUAAAUAAAAAAUAAAGAAAUGUAUGAUGACGAUAAAAGAAAUUUUCAAAAUGAAAAGAAUCUAAUGGAAAUCACCAAAUCAAAAUGAAAACAACAUGUUAAAAAUUCAAUCCGUAUGUCUUGCAAUUGAAGCCCAGAAAUUAAAUUAAUAAAGAAUGGAUCAUUGAAGAAAUUGAUUUUUAUCUAUCUGGAGCUGUCGUUCUUGUCCGGUGUAUAAAAACAUUCUAGAUAUCAAGACUUCACAGCUAUGGAUAAAUGCAUCGCCAGAUUAUCAAAUUAAGAAUUAUAUCCCAAAAAUUAUAGAAACAAGUUAUGAUAAUCAAUCAGUAAAAGGAAGAGUCAGCAGAUGUGUUAAAAUUCAUGAUAUCUACAACCCAGUGCUACGCUCCAUGCAUCAAGCAGGUUUUUAGUGUAACAAACCACGCUGCAGCAAAACAUGUUGAAAAUUCAAUUUGCAUCUCUUGCAGUAAAAACCCAGAAAUAAAUGUAACAAAGAACGAAUCAUUGAAUAAACUGAUUUAUCUAUCUGAAGACAUUCUCCAUUUUUCAUAUGUUGUAUCAAGCCUUUCUAGUUAUCAAGAUUCAAGACUUCUCAGCUCGCUGCAAAACGGCCAAAUGUAUGUCUCGAUUAUAUAACGAAGUUUAUAUCCAAUAAUCCAAAAAUUACAGAAAUAAUUCUUGAUAACGGAUCGUAAAAGAAGAGUGAAAAGAAACAAAUUAAAUAUCGCUUAUAGGAAAACCUGAAAUUAAACAAUCAGGGAGCAAACAAUCUGGCUAAUGGAUCAAGAAAGGAAAGAAAUUAGAAGAAGAUCAAGCAACCUCAUAAGUAUAAUUCGAAAAAUUACACAAAUAAUUCUUUAUAACCAAUGGUAACAACAUAUUCUGGAAAAGUAUGAUAGUGUGAAAUAUAUGCUUCUCAUAUGGAAAUAUUGUAAGAAAAGAAUUUACUAACAAUCACCAUAUCAAUACUCGAGGAUGCAGAAAAACAAUGGCAGGUUAUAUUUUUUGACAAACCAGGCCGCAGAAAAACCAUGGGAGGUUAUUAUUUUGACAAACCAAGCUUCAGAAAAACCACGUUCACAGUUCGAUUCGUCUCAUAGUUAAAGAUCUGGAGAAAUUCAAUUUAUAUCUGAAGCCGUUCUCCGUUCGUAUAUGUUGUGUCAGCAAUCGCAAAACAAUCUGGACUUCCAGACUUCAGCUCGCUGCAAAACGGAUAAAUGCAUGUCUCGAUUAUCCAAUUAUGAACAACCAUAUCCAAUAAACCAAAAAAAUAAACAAACAACAAUUCUUGAAAAACCAAUCCAUGAAAAAAGAGCCAGGAGAACUGUGACAUUCGUGAUAGAAGCAUAUCAAAAUACAAGUCCAAAAUGAACUCCUUGAUAGAAGCAGCACAAAGACUCCAGAAACAAGAACAUAAUAACUGCAACUCUAACAGAGCACAGAUACAGAUGUAGGCAAAAAAUGACCAGUUUUAUUCAUCCGAAGGCUGAACGGAAAGUAAGCGAACCUCUCUGCAUGCCACACAAUUAUAGGCUUACUCCCCUUGUAACACAGAGAAAACUCAAAGGAUCUGACAAAAGUGGAUGACAGCCUGUAGACAGUAGACAGUAUAUGACAAUGACAGCCUGUAGAAAGAUAAUGAUUCAUUGGAACAAUUUUGCAAGAUCGUCAUGCAACCACAUGAAAGACAAUUUAGCUUUCUACUAAUACAGAGAAGUCCCUACACAACAUAAUGAAGAGGAUAUCUUUUAAGGAGGAUCAUCAUCAUAAUAAAUAAACAAUAUCAAAACAGUAAAAGAAGACUAUAGACAGACUCUCCCAUCAAAGUUAUGUCAUCACCAACAUACCAAAAACACACAAAAACUUGAACACAGAAAGAAACACAAAAUCAUGAACACCAGCUUCUACACAAUUAGGACAACAAUUCAGAAACAAAAACAUAUACGUAUGUAAAAGAUAACCAAUUAUAUCCCAAGGACGAAUGAGAAGGUCUGGGCCAAUCAAAUUCAAGCUUGUGAGAAGAGUCAUGAAGCACGAAAGCAUAAAUAAUGCUCACAUCUAAAUUAGAUCGCCAAAUUAAGCCUCACAGAGAUUGAGAAUUUAACUUGUUAUUCAUGUAAUUAGUUGCAGAAGAUAAAUAGUACAGAGCAGAAGCACUCAUCUCCAAUUUCUCAACUUCAGACAGCAAAAUAAACAAGGUACAGUGUAGUAGAGAAAAGGAGACUACUGUUGAACACUUACCCUGUAACAGCACAAAGUUGUCCAAACCAAGCUGCUAAUCCGCAGAUCAUAGUUACGAAGUAAACCCCACAAAGUUGUCUCAAUUUCUCAGAAUUGUGUAACCACUACUCCGUCACAUUACAUGUGAAAAACAUAAAUGUAAUAAAACAGUAGUUUGAUGGAGUAGUGUAACAGAUAGUUGCAAAAUAAAAGAGAAGAUUAGCAUAAUUCUCCAAACCAAGCCGCUGAACAAAAGAUCAUAGUUACAAGAGAGCCCCUCACAAGCUGUCCCAUUUCUCCAGAAAAAUAUGUAAACUAUCACACUAUCAGAUUACAUGCCAAAUACCUAUAUGUAAGAAAACAGUAGUGAUUGAGAAAGAUACACAAAAACAUGUAACAAUUACCCAGUCCAAAUGACACAAACGGGCAACCCGUGCACUAAAGCUCCUUCAUACGCAGGGUUCGGGAAAGGGUCCCACCAUUAUUGGUGUAUUGUACGCUGCCUUAACCUGUUUUUUACACAAGAGGCUGCUUCCAGGACUUGAACACCAAAUAACACAUGCACAAAAAUAUUACACUGUACCACCUAAUUAUAGAAAAAACCAAGUAAGAGAAACAAGAGUAGUAUUAACCAAGUAGUAUUAAAUAACACAUGCACAAAUGAAGCCACUGAUAAAAAGAUCAUAUUUACAAAAACACAUAAAUAACUUACUUAAUUUCUCCAGAUUUGUGUAAACUCAAUUUACAGGUCAGAAAUCUAAAUGUAAGAUAACAGUAGUAUUAAGCAGUCCGCGAACCGUAAGGUUGAACUUCUCAGUAUAAGGGAGUAAAACAAGACUGAACGAUAAAUUUGAGGAUAAUGAAUACUGAACUCAUCUCUCACCCCACUUAAACAGACUUAUCUCUCGCGUGUAACACCCAAGUGACAUAAAGGAGUAAGUCAAAAUGACAGGAUAGUAGAACUUUACAGAGAAUUAAUGAGAUAAAAACUAUUCACAACCAAGAAGAGUGUAUCAAAAUACACCUGAUUGCUUGGUGCUACACAGAACAGUCUCAAAACACACAGCACUGCAGAAAACAGAAAAUGUUUCAAUUCACAAUUUAGUAUAAUCAUGUAGUUUCACAAAACAUUACUACCAUUAUCUAAAACUCAAUCGGCAACAUCUCAAGAGAAAAUUCACAUAUGAACUCAAGGCUCCAUGCUAUGAAAAAAUAACUUCAAUAAUUACGCCGUAUGCCUCUUCCAUCAUAUCACUUGGCUCUAAAAAGAAGACAGAUAAUGGAAAGGAGGAUGAGGGAGGAUAUAAGAGAAGUGUGAGACAAUGGAUAAUGGUAAAAAUUCAUUAAGUUUAAUGAUAUUUUUGUCAAUUCAAGUGUAAAGACGCCAGCUAAUUAUUUUCCUUUGAUUGUGAAAAAUGUUACAAUUCUUUUGCUAGUUUUAAUUUCAAAGAUACAAAGAUUUAAUUGUAAUAUUUUACACUACACUGUUAAAUGGUGAAUAUUAUCAUUUUUUUUUUAUGAACAAGCGUGAAUAUUAUAUCUAUUGUGAUUUCUGAAUAGAAGUUUUAAUCUAACCUUAAUGAAGUUUUAAUAUCAUUGAGUAAUUUCCAAAUAGAAAAUUAUCAAAGUGAUCUGGUACACAUGCUUAUAUAGAUCAACGGUGUUAAUUAAAAAAUACAUUGAUAAAAUUGUAAUUUUUUACACUACACGUUGUCCUUGCUCGUUAGAAGUUUAAACUUAACCUUACUGAAGGUAUCAGAGUGAUUUCCAAAAAAAAAAAUGAUAAAAGUCAUCUGGUACAAAAUUGAUCAUUAGAACAUCAUAAAAGAUAAUUGAAAAUAACAAAAUUGAUCAUUAGAACAUCAUAAACAUUUGCUUAGUUAUGUCCCUAACACCAUGUUCAAUUUCUACUCUAGUUAACACUGGCAGGUCAAACAACAAAGAGAUAACUUUCAAAAUACAUUAAGCAUUCCUAAGCUAGAAGCAGGCCUGCUUUGUGAACUAAGGAGGAACAAUAAACUCUGCACACUUGGUAUAUUCCAUUAUUGUGGUUGUUCUUAACAAAAAGAAUGCAGGACACGCCAUUAGAAGUAAGAAAUAGCUGGUCUAUCUAUAUUUGCAAUGAACGGGAUAAAAUACAAAGAACCAAUCCAAGCAGAAAGCACAAAGUAUGUAUAACCAAGUAGAAAUCACCUUGAAGCCCGGUGCACUCAGAAAUAUCAACUUAGGAGAACCGAUUUAUUCUUAUGCACAUCGUCAAAUGAUAAACAGUAUAGAAAAGCUCCCCAGAUAAAGACCGCCAUCAGGACAAUCCACCCAAGCUGUCCAAAACAGACUACAGGCAGGCCAAACCAUAAGAGAAUAACUACUCCACCAACAAAGAUACAAAUUUGGGACAGAAGAUUCUUAUAAAACUACAAAAGAUGGCAGACUACCAGAGUAUAACACCAAACCAAGCUGUCCAGAAUUUCAUAUCCUCGUUGCGGACAAAAUCAUAUACUCUAGAAUCUUGUAUGCUUCAGUAUUCAUUCUCCUGAUGCGAAAACACAUAUCCAGCACUAGCAUUAGACAUAUCAAAGGAAAAAUAUCCCUAAUGAUGUAACAUAAACAAACACACGGAUAUGUAAAAAAUUACUGAUCAUAUCACACGGCCGGUUUCCACAGGUCACGGCACACCAUACAUUCAUAGUCGGUCUCCCUUGUAACGCCCUCAAUAUCAAUAGAAAUAUUGAAAAUAAAAAUAGAUUCACAAUCCAAUCUGCAUGUCAUAAGAACAAAUCCCAAAUCUUAGUAAUUUUGAUAUAUCUGGACUCGAGUAUUUCCAAACAUUUUAGAUAUCCAAGCUGACAGAAUCAUAAAUAUUGCCGAAGCUCUCCUAAUAUCUAGAUUCAUAUUUCUAAACAUUGGCACAUCACAAUGUCAAAGGACACCUAUUCCAGAACAAGUACAUUCAAGGCAAGAAAAUGACCAGUGAAAUCCAAGGGUCUGCAUGUUCGUAAUAUUAAGGUUAGCUGCAGCUUUAAAAUCACAGUACAGCAUCUCCCCUGUAACACGAGCUAAGAAAAUUUCACAACAAAAAACCCCAUUUACAGACACAGGGAGUCGGGGUAGGAAUGAGAAAACUAAAUCCACAAAAAGACAAGGAAAACGUGAAGAAGAAAUCUAACUGUCAAAGUAGAAAUAACGAAAUGAAAGCUUAACAACGGCAGCCAAUUGCAGAUUCUGGUGCUCCAUUAAGCUCCCCCCUAAACCAAGUCCUUGCUCCAAUUGCAGAAUCUGUGAGGCAUAACCUUUUUGGAGAGAAGAUUCUUAUCCUCAUGUAUAUAUACCACAAACCGCAGGAAAAUAGAAAACGAAUUAUGAUAGAGGAAGAGACAAAUCAACAAUUAAAGUGCCAAACCAGUCCAGAAUUCUUAUAUGCUUCAUACUCUCAUGAGACAGAACCACAAAAACUCAGACACUUGCAAGAAACCAUCAGAGGACCUGCUAUCCCAAAUCCCAAUAUAAAAACACGGCUAGAAAAUUACCAGUUUUAUCUCAAGGCUGAACAGAACCUUGCUUCGUGCACAUUUAUAGGAUUUUCCUCUAACACUCACAGAAAACUCAAAAAGUAGAUGCUGAUUAUCAAACUAUAGGGAGUAUAUGAAACAGCCUGCAGAGGACGUUGAAUCAGGGUGUGCAAAAAUAAACCUGUACACUUUAAUAAUACACAGACUGGUUAUUUUAAGAUAUAUUAUGCUCCAGAAAACAGGUUUUAAUUCACAAUCCACCAGAAAUGAAUAUCAUGUAUGGAGCUCUGCAAAACAUCACCGUUUUAUGAAACUCAACUGGCAACAUCCAAAACAGAAAAUUCAUAGCAGAACUCCAGUCAUCUUUCCAAGUUCAGCAAAACAUUACUAUUUCCUAUUACUCAAAUAGCAAUACCAUAAAUGCAAAACAACAUCUGUCUACCAAGAAUAAUGUUAGUUGUAACAGGAAUUCAAGAACAAUCAA
rnacentral:lncRNA from 1 species